UACGUAGGUCCCGAGCGUUGUCCGGAUUUAUUGGGCGUAAAGCGAGCGCAGGUGGUUUAUUAAGUCUGGUGUAAAAGGCAGUGGCUCAACCAUUGUAUGCAUUGGAAACUGGUAGACUUGAGUGCAGGAGAGGAGAGUGGAAUUCCAUGUGUAGCGGUGAAAUGCGUAAAUAUAUGGAGGAACACAGGUGGCGAAAGCGGCUCUCUGGCCUGUAACUGAGACUGAGGCUCGAAAGCGUGAGGAGCAAACAGG
rnacentral:rRNA from 1 species